GGGUCUAAUCGGAGCUGUUGCUGCCGGCCUACGCCACAGCCACAGCAAUGCAAGAUCCGAGCUGCGUCUGCAGCCUACACCAGAGCUCACAGCAACACCGGAUCCUUAACCCACUGAGCAAGGCCAGGGAUCAAACCCACAACCCCACAGUUCCUAGUCGGAUUCGUUUCUGCUGCACAACCACAGGAACGCCUAAUGUUUUUGUUGAUAUAGUCGAGUUUACAUCUGCCGUUUUACUUUUUCUAUAUAUCUCAUGUCAUCUGAGUUCCUCUAACCCUCCUUUGCCGUGUUCUUUGCCAUUAUAAUGAAUCAGGCAUAUACGACAACGCAACAACUUCAAAGAGCUACUUCUUUUUAAUUCGGAUAGCAAAAUGACCUCUCCAACAAUUUUUAGUUUCUUCAACUGCUUAUUUUCUAAUGAUUUUUUUUUCUGGUUCCAGAAAACAGGAACAAAUCUAAUAUUCACCCACUAGGUAUGGGACACCAUCUACAAAAAUGUCAAUUACCAGCUUCCUGGGGGUUGGAGGAGUUGAGGCUACGACUUGACCUUCCCACAAAGAGGAGGGACGGGGCCCUUCACCAUGUUUUGAGGAUCCCCUUCAUGACAUGUUCAGUGUCCUGACAGUUCAGUGCUUCCAGCCAAGGUGGGAAGGAUGGUUGGAAUUCACAGGAGUCCACAGUGUGGAUAGUUUCAGACGCCCUGGCACUGCUCUCACAGACACUUGACACAGAUGCUAACAAAGAUCUAGUGAGCAGAGGCCCUUUCUACACCUGCUGCAAGAAACAGAUAAGACAGCACAAACUGAUUAGCCCACAUCCCUGCCUGAGAGUGAUUUUAACACCCACCACCACCACUACCAUCUACGGAUCACCUGACCUCAUAGUUCACCUACAAAGCCCUCUAUUCAUCAGCACACAUGAAGGGAAGCUACAAUCCAGGGGGGUCGUGAGUUGUGAAAUCCCAAAUUCACAGCUUAUGUUGUGAACGCCUGAGGUUUGGGACACCCAGCACCCCCUCUCCCAUCUCCUGGCUGGAGCACUUCCAAGUUCUGAUGUCCUGUCCAGCAAAAGGCCAUGUUUGUCUAUUUGGACUGAAGUGUCUUCCAUUCAUUUUUAGCUGCCCCUCCAGAAAACUCAAGAGAUCUACAAUAUCCCCAUAAACUGGGCUCAUCCUGGGUGCCUGGCAUUCUUCCAGGGAGAGGGAGAUCAUGUCCGUAAAAUGCCCAAAUGGCAAAUUCCCAGGAGUUUAAGCAGGUUGGGCAUAAUUUGGGGACAUGCAGGCCCUUUUUCAAAAUAAGAUGUCUGGUUGGCACAAAAAAAAAAAAAAAAAAAAAAAAACAAAAAAAACACCUCAUCCAGCCCCGAUCCUGGAAGGAUCCAAGACCCAAUUAUUGCCAGGCUUAAUGAGCUCACUCGCCCAGCUGCCCUGACCCAAGAAAACAGCCCUGCCAACUUCCAAAAAGGAGGCGUGUCUUCCAAAGCAUAUUCUGAGAUGCAGCUCGAGAGAAUGGAAGAAAUCAGGUCAAUUUAACGAGGAAUAGGACCUGCGAACACAAGAACAUGGCUUGGAUUCUGAAGAACAGCUUUCUAACAUUUUCUUCACCCUAAACCAAAAGCAGGCUGCCAUCCAGGCAGUGAAAUCCCCGUGUGCAGAAGGGAAGCUGGAUUAAGUUCCACAGAAGCUUCACAAAUAUCAUCUCGGGGCUGACAGAACCACCUGGGAUGUUUUGAUCCCAAGUAUGGAGGUGCCCAAGGUCUGGAGAGUUGAUGUCACUAUAGGCGCCUGCUGCGGAGAAUAGAGGGGGGGGCUUCUUCAGGGCAGAACAGACCAGAUGCAAACAACAGCAAACAAUCUUCGGCACCAGACUCCCGCCACUGACAUUCUAGGAUUCUGAUAUUACAGGAAUAUGAAACAUACUCAUUUUUUAUUUCUUGGCUCAGAAGUGAAGCCAAUUCACCCAUAAUGCUAUAAACACCAAAUCUCAAGGCUAAAGGUCAAAUGCUAUCGACCACCUACUAUGCACCCCAUCCUGUGCAGGGCUCUGGGAAUGCCACUGUGAACCAGGAAGCAUCCUUAAUCUCCUGGGACCUUCUGGCUAGCAAGAGAGUCAGACAAGUCACUGGCAGCUGGAAUACAGAAGCCAGGGCAGUGACAGAGGGAUGCUCAGGGCAUCGGACGCCCUUGGGACAUUGCUGACCCAGCCUGCAGAUGCGGAAGCGUUGUCAGGGAAGGUUUCUGGAGGAAGCAAGGCUGAGGAUGGAUGUGAAGCACAGGUGGAGGGUGUUCACCAGGUGGAUGGGGGCAGGGACGGCGAAUGGGCAGAUCCGCCAGAGGGAACAGCAUAUGCGAAGCCUGGCUCAGUCCAGCUAGACGUCUACUGAAGGCAUGGGAGAAGGGCAAGGCAGGAGCAGAGCACACACGCCACACUGGCAAAAUCAGGAGAGCAGAGCAAGCCUCUUCACUCUCUCCGUCUGCCUCCAGGCUGCUCCUGUCUUAAUCCAGCCCCAGUGACUUCAUUCACUGUACCUACACUUGCAGAGCAAGCAAACAGGUCUCUCCUUGAGCCCCAGCAUCCCCGCUGGGCUGGGGGGCCUGCAGGGUAUCACAGGACAGGGUGUGGGGAGGAUGGGGAAGGAGGAUGCAAGCAGACGGAGCUGGCAAGCAAGGGUCUGGAAGGAGAGACAGCGCUUAGCAAGGGGUACAAUUCAUGGGAAGGUAUGAGAAUUGAAUGGGAAGCAGGCCAUGGGGGCCUCGAACCCAGGCUAAAGUGGUUGCACUCUUUUCAUAAGCAAUCAGCAGACUGAGGUAGCCAGAAGAGGUCUGACCCCACCACUGCCGUUUCUACCUGGGCAACCCCAGGUAAGCCACUCAUUCUCCUGCAAUGAGGCAGUGCCCCGCAGUGAGGGCUGGAAAAGAAAACUCGCUGCUGCCCGCAAUAACCCACUUCCAGGAGUUCCCACUGGGACUCAGUGGGUUAAGGACCCAAUGUUGUCUCUACGAGGAUUGCGGGUCCACUCCCCGGCCUCACUCAGUGGGUUAAGGAUCUAGCGUUGGCGCAAGCUGCAGUGUAGGCUGCAGGUGCGGCUCACAACCGGUGUGGCUGUGCCUGUGGCACAGGCUGCAGCUGCAGCUAAGCCUACCCCAGCCGGCAGCACAAGGCCAGGCACCUGCAGGCAGGUGGGUGUGUGGAAGAUGAGAGGGACGAUGCUAGCUAACGGUUGGGAAACUCUGACAAAAUCCCUCUUCGGGACGGGGACAGGGGUGUGCCCCCCCCUCCAAAUGCCAGAGCUCCCAGGGUGAAGUGAUUUGUUUCCCUCGUGGCUCCUGGCUGGAUCUGGGAGCUCCAUGGAGACUCCUCCCAGGUCUGCGGAAAGCGGAGAGCCUCUCAAGCAGAGAAGGUGCGCAAACAGGGAGGUGCCUCGCCCGGCCUUGAGAAUCGGAGGCCCUCGUCCAAUCAAAGCUGGCCGUACAGUAGCCCCGCCCACUAUGCAAAGAUUCUCCCAGAGAUCUCCGCAUGCGGGGGCCGACUGAAAGGAACGUGCAAACUCUUUGGAGGACGGAAAAAUUCGGGUGCGGUCAUUAUAGGCAGAGGGAUUAAAAGGGUCAGAGCCACUGAACGGAGGCGACUCUCAGCAGAGUGGCCAAUGCUCUUCGGUCAUCCUAUAGCCGUCAUCUUGGGUGCCAAUUAGCAAGAGGCUACCACGCACCAGCCCUUAGGUGUCUGCCGAGACAGCUCCCGUUAGAGCCCAGGCUCUCAUCGCCCUAUGCCUGUGGUCCUGUCCCCUUACUUUAAUUAUAUCCUGCAGGGAAAAGUUACUGUCGUGAUGACCUGGCUUGUGUUUUACUUAUGGGUCUCCCUGGUCUCAGAAUCAGAGCUGCCAUGGGCAGGGACCUUGCCUGGGUCUUCGUGGGGCUCUGGUCUCUUCCAGGGGCCACAGGAGGCCCUCAAAUGUGCACUGUCGUUGUUCAUCAUCAGACGGAGCGUCCAGUUUACAGAGGAGGAAACUGAAGCACAGAAAAACUGUAACUUUUCAGUUCAGUAUGCUCAGUAUGGAGGAAGUUGAGUGUGCCUAGCUCUUAGAGGCAGGCGAAGGUCAGAAAUAACCACACACAGCUCAGGGUGCUGCUGCCACUGUGGCCACGACACUUCACAGAAGGCAGAGCCACCAUCCUCUGGGCCUGGUCCCUGCCCCUGAGGCGCUUAGAGUUUGGCAGCACUGUCCCCCCAAAAUACAAUGUGAACCCCACGUGCAAUUUUAAAUUCUCUACUAGCCACAUUAAAAAAAGAACAAGUAAAAACAAAGAAAAAAAUGGAAAAAAUAAAAAACAAAAAUAAAGAAAAAAAGGUGAAAUUAAUUUUAAUAAUUCAUUGCAUUUAACAAUAUACCCAAAAGUUUUGUUUCAACACAUCAUCCAUGUUAAAGUUAUUACUGAGAUCUUUUUCACCCUUUGUCCUACAAAGUCUUCAAAAUCCAGUGCAAAUUUUUCACUCUCCAGCCCGUGUCAGUUCACAGGAGCCACAUCUCAAUGCUCGAGCCCUGAGGGGCCACCGGAGUGGACAGGUCGGCUCCAGGAGUCCUCUGGCUACCUUGGGACAAGUGAGCAGAUGAGCCAGGAGACUCAUUCGCAAUCACUAUAGUCACGACCUCUGCAAUCACCACCAGCGCCCAAAUACCUACUGUGCCCUGCCGUGCUCUGGGCUGUCUACACAGUAAUUUUUUUUUUUUUUUUUUGUCUUUUUUGCCAUUUCUUGGGCCGCUCUCACGGCAUAUGGAGGUUCCCGGCCUAGGGGUCCAAUCGGAGCUGUAGCUACUGGCCUACGCCAGAGCCACAGCAAAGUGGGAUCUGAGCCGCGUCUGCAACCUACACCACAGCUCACAGCAACACCGGAUCCUUAACCCACUGAGCAAGGCCAGGGAUCAAGCCCGCAACCUCAUGGUUUCUAGUCAGAUUCGUUAACCACUGAGCCACGAUGGGAACUCC
rnacentral:lncRNA from 1 species